rnacentral:rRNA from 1 species
UAAAGCAAGAAAGGGCGUAUGGGGAAUGCCUAGGCACACUCCGGCGAAGAAGGACGCAGCAAACAGCGAAAUGCGACGGUGAGCGGUAAGCACGUGAAGAGCCGUCGAUAUCCGAAUGGGGGAACCCACACGGAGUCAUAUCCGUGUAUCACAUGUCGAAUACAUAGACAUGAUGAGGCGAGACGCAGGGAACUGAAACAUCUAAGUACCUGCAGGAAGAGAAAAUAAGAAUGAUUUUCUGAGUAGCGGCGAGCGAAAGGGAAAGAGCCCAAACCGAUUUGAGGAUCGGGGUAGUAGGAUCAUCGAUAAAUCAAACAGAGGAUCAUAGAGGAAUCACAUGGGAAGGUGAGCGAGAGAGGGUGAGAGCCCCGUACUCGAAAUGAGAGACUGGAGAGAGAUGACACCUGAGUAGGGCGGGACACGAGAAAUCCUGUCUGAAUCAGCCGGGACCAUCCGGCAAGGCUAAAUACGAGAGAGUGACCGAUAGUGAACCAGUACCGUGAGGGAAAGGUGAAAAGAACCCCGGGAGGGGAGUGAAAGAGAACCUGAAACCAUAUGCCUACAAGAAGUCAGAGCCCGUUAAAGGGUGAUGGCGUGCCUUUUGUAGAAUGAACCGGCGAGUUACUGUAUGGAGCGAGGUUAAGCAGGAUAUGCGGAGCCGAAGCGAAAGCGAGUCUUAAGAGGGCGCGAGUUGCAUGCAGUAGACCCGAAACCGGGUGAUCUAGCCAUGACCAGGUUGAAGUUGGGGUAAAACCCGAUGGAGGACCGAACCGACCCCCGUUGAAACGUUGGCGGAUGAGUUGUGGCUAGGGGUGAAAUUCCAAUCGAACCCGGAGAUAGCUGGUUCUCCCCGAAAUAGCUUUAGGGCUAGCGUCGAGAGAAGAGUUGCGUGAAGGUAGAGCACUGAAUAUGUGAUGGCCCCAUCUCGGGGUACUGAGCAUAAUCAAACUGCGAAUGUCACGCCAACAUGCUCGGCAGUCAGACAGCGGGUGAUAAGGUCCGUUGUCAAGAGGGAAACAGCCCAGACCAUCAGCUAAGGUCCCAAAAUGUAUGCUAAGUGGAAAAGGAUGUGGAGAUGUACAGACAACUAGGAGGUUGGCUCAGAAGCAGCCAUCCUUUAAAGAGUGCGUAACAGCUCACUAGUCGAAUGACUCUGCGCCGAUAAUUUACCGGGGCUAAGCAUACUACCGAAGCUAUGGAUCCCAAGGGAUGGUAGGGGAGCGUUCCAUGAACGGAGAAGUACGACCGAAAGGACGUGUGGAGAUCAUGGAAGAGAGAAUGCCGGUGUGAGUAGCGGAACGUGGGUGAGAAUCCCACGCACCGAAAACCCAAGGUUUCCAGAGGAAGGUUCGUCCGCUCUGGGUAAGUCGGGACCUAAGGCGAGGCCGAAAGGCGUAGUCGAUGGACAACAGGUAGAGAUUCCUGUACCCGUAUAUAUGUGAAGGAAUGACGGAGAGAGGAAGCUGCAGCCAGCGGCUGGAAGAGCUGGUGCAAGCGAGAUAUCGGGAUGGCAGGCAAAUCCACCAUCCGAAACGAGAAGGCGUGAAGCGUACGGAAAGCUACGGCGAGUACGGAAGGCAGUGGAGGAACUUCCAAGAAAAGUUUCUAACGUUAAGUAUAUAUGGCCCGUACCGAAAAUGGACACACAUGGGUGAGGAGAGAAUCCUAAGGUGAGCGAGAGAACUAUAGCUAAGGAACUCUGCAAAAUGACUCCGUAACUUAGGGAGAAGGAGUGCUCAUAGAGAUAUGAGCCGCAGUGAAACGGCCCAAGCGACUGUUUACCAAAAACACAGCUCUCUGCUAAGCCGCAAGGCGAAGUAUAGGGGGUGACGCCUGCCCGGUGCUGGAAGGUUAAGGGGAGGGGUUAACGCAAGUGAAGCCCUGAACUGAAGCCCCAGUAAACGGCGGCCGUAACUAUAACGGUCCUAAGGUAGCGAAAUUCCUUGUCAGGUAAGUUCUGACCCGCACGAAUGG